CGUGACGCAGCGACGCGCGUGUGGGAUGACGGCUUCGGGUGUAACACUGUCGAAGGGACGAAUGGCCCGCAAGGGCAGUGACGGUACCUUCAAAGGAAGCACCGGCUAACUCCGUGCCAGCAGCCGCGGUAAUACGGAGGGUGCGAGCGUUGUCCGGAAUCACUGGGCGUAAAGGGCGCGUAGGCGGCCCGGUAAGUAGGGGGUGAAAUCUUGCGGCUUAACCGCAAGGCUGCCUUCUAGACUGCCAGGCUCGAGCACAGUAGAGGCAGGUGGAAUUCCCGGUGUAGCGGUGGAAUGCGUAGAGAUCGGGAAGAACAUCAGUGGCGAAGGCGGCCUGCUGGACUGUAGCUGACGCUGAGGCGCGACAGCGUGGGGAGCAAACAGGAUUAGAUACCCUGGUAGUCCACGCCGUAAACGAUGGGCACUAGGCGUCGGGGGGAGCGACCCUCCCGGUGCCGUCGCUAACGCAGUAAGUGCCCCGCCUGGGGAGUACGGCCGCAAGGCUG
rnacentral:rRNA from 1 species